GGAUUGUGGCUCAGCGGUAGAGCGCUUGCCUCGCAUGUCCGAGGUCCUGGGUUCCAUCCUCAGCACCA
rnacentral:tRNA from 1 species